GACGAACGCUGGCGGCGUGCUUAACACAUGCAAGUCGAACGGAAAGGCCCGGCUUUUUGGGGGUGCUCGAGGUGCCAACGGGUGAGUAACACGUGAGUAACCUGCCCUUGACUUUGGGAUAACCUCAGGAAACUGGGGCUAAUACCGCAUAGGAUCUCCUGCUGCUUGGUGGGGGUUGGAUGGUUUCGGCGGUUGGGGAUGGACUCGCGGCUUAUCAGCUUGUUGGUUGGGUAGUGGCUGAGCAAGACCUUGACGGGUAGCCGGCCUGGGCGGGUGACCGGCCACAUCGCGCCGGAGCUACGGCCCAGACUCGUACGGUAGGCAGGGGUGGGGAAUAUUGCACAAUGGGCGGAACCAUGAUGUAGUCAAGCCGCGUGCGGGAUGACGGCAUUCCGGUUGUGUAGUGAUUUCGCCUGAGACGAAGUGUGAGUGACGGUACUGGGUAAAGAAGCACCGGCUAACUCCGUG
rnacentral:rRNA from 1 species